AGAUUGAACGCUGGCGGCAGGCCUAACACAUGCAAGUCGAGCGGCAGCACGGGUACUUGUACCUGGUGGCGAGCGGCGGACGGGUGAGUAAUGCCUAGGAAUCUGCCUGGUAGUGGGGGAUAACGCUCGGAAACGGACGCUAAUACCGCAUACGUCCUACGGGAGAAAGCAGGGGACCUUCGGGCCUUGCGCUAUCAGAUGAGCCUAGGUCGGAUUAGCUAGUUGGUGAGGUAAUGGCUCACCAAGGCGACGAUCCGUAACUGGUCUGAGAGGAUGAUCAGUCGCACUGGAACUGAGACACGGUCCAGACUCCUACGGGAGCAGCAGUGGGGAAUAUUGGACAAUGGGCAAAGCCUGAUCCAGCCAUGCCGCGUGUGUGAAGAGGUCUUCGGAUUGUAAAGCACGUUUAAGUUGGAGGAAGGCUAAGUAAAUUAAUACUUUGCUUGUUUUGACGUUACGACAGAAUAAGCACCGGCUAACUCUGU
rnacentral:rRNA from 1 species